CCUUCAUGAAGCUGGAAUUGCUAGUAAUGGCAGGUCAGCAUACUGCCGUGAAUACGUUCCCGGGCCUUGUACACACCGCCCGUCACACCAUGAGAGUUGGAAAUACCCGAAGCCUGUGAGCUAACAGUGAUGAGGCAGCAGUCGAAGGUAGAGCCAAUGAUUAGGGUGAAGUCGUAACAAGGUACC
rnacentral:rRNA from 1 species